rnacentral:misc_RNA from 1 species
GGAAGGAUCAUUAACACUUUUGCAUCCAAAAACAAAACCUUUGUUGCGUCGCGCGCUUCACGGCGCGUGGCGCAACAGAAACACCCGAACGUUGAAGUUGUUACCCGGGCUCCGGCCCGCGGUAAUGCUUUCUCUUCCACAUCAAAAACACCAUUCCAUGUUAUUUUCCAUUGUUUUCAAUUCCGCGACAAGGCCGAUUCGCUCGGCGGCGACGCGGGAACGAAAUGAAAAACAACAUAAGACGACUUUUAACAACGGAUAUCUUGGCUCUCGCAACGAUGACGAGCGCAGCGAAAUGCGAUACGUAAUGUGAAUUGCAGGAUUCAGUGAAUCAUCAAAAUCUUGAACGCAACUUGCGCUGGUGGUUCUGCCACCAGCAUGCCUGUUUGAGUGUCGGUUCAAACAUUCAACCAACCGUUUGGGGGAACGCGAUUCGUUGCGUUCACCUGCGCGCGCGGCUGGAACUGGGCCGUUUCGUGCUGAUCACAGCGCGAAUCGCUUGAAAUGCAUUCGGGCACCACUUUGGACGUUCAACGGAGGGUUAAAGGAAUUACGCAUGCCGUCUUAUCAUACCCGUUGGUUGCUUUCGAUCCCUGAUCUUUUUCGGAGCGUUCGAGCGAGCGAUCGACGGGGUUUCAAUCGGCACUGCGCGUUCUCUUUACCGCCUUCUGCUUGUUCCUUCGUCCGGGUGGCGUACUCCCGAGAGUACGGCGACCCUUUCCCUCGCGGGGAAGCCGGUCUGCCGGGGGCGCCCUUCUGGGGCGCCCUUUGUCUCUUUUCUGCUUUUUCGAAAGCGAAAGAAUCAUUUCGACCUCAAAUCAGGCAAGGGUACCCGCUGAACUUAAGCAUAUCAAUAAGCGGAGGAAAAGAAACUAACCAGGAUUCCCUCAGUAACGGCGAGUGAAGCGGGAACAGCUCAGAUUUAAAAUCUCCGGGGUUUCACCUCGGCGAAUUGUAGUUUUGUGAACGAGCAUCACGGGCGGAUGGCCGCGGUUUAAGUCUCCUGGAAAGGAGCGCCAGAGAGGGUGACAGCCCCGUGUACAACUGCGGUGAAAGAAAAGCGUCCGUCGACACGUGUUGCCGUUUCGAAGAGUCGGGCUGCUUGGGAGUGCAACCCUAAAUAGGUGGUAAAUCUCAUCUAAAGCUAAAUACGGGCGAGAGACCGAUAGCGAACAAGUACCGUGAGGGAAAGAUGCAAAGAACUUUGAAAAGAGAGUUAAAAGUGCUUGAAAUUGUUAAAAGGGAAGCGAUUGGAACCAGUCACUGCCCGGCGUUCAUUCAGGUCGACGGGCGUUGGCCGUCGCCGCACCCGAGGGGUCCAUGGUGGCCUCCGGCAGUGCGACGGCGGACGGCGUUUGGCGGCUGCACUUGGGCGUCGGGCGUGUCAGCGUGGAUUGGCGGCGCGUUAGAAUGGCGGCUGGAAGGUGCCGUGGCCGCAAGGUUGCGGGUUACAGCCGGCCGCUGGAUGGCGUGCCUGACCGAUCGAGGCGUGGCGAACCACGUAGGGGGGCUCUCCUUUCGAGGGGAGGGCCAACCGUUGUGCCGGUGUUGCUCGGUGGUGCGGACAGCCUAGCUGUGCGCGUUGCCGGGUGGCGCCGCCCGCGGCGGUGUGCACCUGCCCCCCAGAGACGCAUGACGAAAUGGUUCCAACCGACCCGUCUUGAAACACGGACCAAGGAGUCUAACAUGUGUGCGAGUGCUUGGGUGGCGAAAACCCGGGACGCGUAAUGAAAGUGAAGGGCCCUCACGGGUCCGAGGUGGGAAACCCGGCGAAUAGUUGGGAUGCACCAUCGACCGAUCUUGAUAAUUUUGGAUAGAUUUGAGUGUGAGCACACCUGUUGGGACCCGAAAGAAAGCGAACUAUGCUUGCAUAGGGUGAGGCCAGACGAAAGUCUGGUGGAGGCUCGUAGCGAUACUGACGUGCAAAUCGUUCGUCAAAUGUGAGUAUAGCGGCGAAAGACUAAUCGAGCUUUCUAGUAGCUGGUUUCCUC